rnacentral:rRNA from 1 species
UUAGAGUUUGAUCCUGGCUCAGAGCGAACGUUAGCGGCGGGCCUAACACAUGCAAGUCGAACGAGAAUGAGGGGGCAACUCCUCUAGUAAAGUGGCGGACGGGUGCGUAACACGUGGGUAAUCUACCUUCCGGCGGGGGACAACAGUCCGAAAGGAUUGCUAAUACCGCAUACGUCAGCGAGGUCUACGGAUCUUGUUGGGAAAGAUGGCCUCUCCUUGGAAGCUGUCACCGGAAGAUGAGCCCGCGGCCCAUCAGCUAGUUGGUGAGGUAACGGCUCACCAAGGCUUAGACGGGUAGCUGGUCUGAGAGGAUGAUCAGCCACACUGGGACUGCGACACGGCCCAGACUCCUACGGGAGGCAGCAGUGGGGAAUAUUGGGCAAUGGGCGCAAGCCUGACCCAGCCAUGCCGCGUGAGUGAUGAAGGCCUUCGGGUCGUAAAGCUCUGUGGGGAGGGAAGAAACAGCCUAUGGCUAACAUCCAUGGGCCCUGACGGUACCUCCUUAGCAAGCACCGGCUAACUCCGUGCCAGCAGCCGCGGUAAU